rnacentral:rRNA from 1 species
GACGAACGCUGGCGGCGUGCUUAACACAUGCAAGUCGAACGGAAAGGCCCUGCUUUUGUGGGUUGCUCGAGUGGCGAACGGGUGAGUAACACGUGAGUAACCUGCCCUUGACUUUGGGAUAACUUCAGGAAAAUGGGGCUAAUACCGGAGAGGAGCUCCUGCUGCAUGUUGGGGGAUGGAAAGUUUCGGCGGUGGGGGAUGGACUCGCGGCUUAUCAGCUUGUUGGUGGGGUAGUGGCUUACCAAGGCUUUGACGGGUAGCCGACAUGAGAGGGUGACCGGCCACAUUGGGACUGAGAUACGGCCCAGAAUCCUACGGGAGGCAGCAGUGGGGAAUAUUGCACAAUGGGCGGAAGCCUGAUGCAGCAACGUCGCGUGCGGGAUGCCGGCCUUCGGGUUGUAAACCGCUUUCGCCUGUGACGAAGCGUGAGUGACGGUAAUGGGUAAAGAAGCACCGGCUAACUACGUG